ACAUUGUGGUCCUCUUGCACGGCUUCCCGACCUCGAGUUACGAUUGGUACAAGAUUUGGGAAGCGCUGACGCAGCGGUUCCAUCGUGUGAUCGCGCUGGAUUUUGUGGGCUUUGGCUUCAGCGAUAAACCUCGGCCUCAUGCCUACUCCAUCUUCGAACAAGCCAGCAUCGUGGAAGGCCUGUUGCGCCACCUGGGACUCCUGAAUCAACGGGUCAACCUCCUUUCUCACGACUACGGAGACACCGUGGCGCAAGAACUGCUGUACAGGUACGAACACAAUAAAACCGGAUGCAUCCUGAUCAACAGCCUGUGUCUGUCGAA